rnacentral:tRNA from 1 species
AGCCCUGAGGUGCAAGAGCAUGCCGGAUUGCAAAUCCGGAGGCGCAGGUUAGUCCCUGCCGGGGCCU